GACAGAGGGUGCAAACGUUGUUCGGAUUUACUGGGCGUAAAGCGCGUGUAGGCGGCUUGGCAAGUUGAAUGUGAAAGCCCACGGCUCAACCGUGGAAGCGCAUCCAAAACUGCUUCGCUUGAGUCUCGGAGAGGAAGGUGGAAUGCUUGGUGUAGAGGUGAAAUUCGUAGAUAUCAAGCAGAACACCUGCGGCGAAGGCGGCCUUCUGGACGAUGACUGACGCUGAGACGCGAAAGCGUGGGGAGCAAACGGG
rnacentral:rRNA from 1 species